CGUCAUCAGUCGUCUUACUCAACAAGCAAGUCUUCAAGCUGCAAGACAUUUCGUUAGCAAGGCGGAAGAAAAGCAGACACGCGUAGGAAAAUGUGGGCUCCGCAGCAGAAGGAGUUGUCAUGGGCAAAUAGGAGUAUAAGGGUAAAAAUAUGACGUGUGAGCAGCGUUCCCCGGGGACUGGAAUGAUGAUGUGCUCGUCUUCAUCGCUCAGGAAGGAGACAACGAGGAGGAGGAGGAGGAGAGAGUGGAAAAAAGGCGCCGCCAUCAUCGUAAACUGUACAGCGGGAGAGGGGACGUCCAUUCGUGGAUUGGUUUCCAAAAUGAGAUGUAAACUUUAUGGACAAAAACAUUGAAACAGGCCUCUUAAUCAAUCAAUCAAUCAAUCAAUCAAUCAAUCAUGGAUUAGACUCCGCCACGGCUGUUUAUUCAGUCUUCUUCCUUCGCUAUUGUUGCCAUUUUGUAAAGAAUCAAAACCAUGCAGACCUCAUCCAAUGACUCCAAAACCAAGCAAUGUGUUUACAGGAUGUCAACAGGAUCAAAGAUCCUCUAUUCAGCAGGAGCAGUCCCUUUACAAAAAAAACAAAAAAACGAAACAGAUGCGAGUGUAUGGUUAUUUGUAAGGACCAAGUGCAAAAACGCUACGGGAAGCACUCUUCAAAAUGAGCUGCUGCAAAAAUGCAAACAAAGAUCCUCUAUUACGACAACAGUGCUCGUCUGGUGCUGCUGUUUUUAAAGACCUACUGCAAAAGCGUUUUUCAAAGAUCAUAGGAACUCUGCUGUUUGUAAGCACCUACUGCAAAAAACCCUAGACGUACGUAGAUCCUAUAUACAGUAUGAGGAUUGCUCUACUGCACAAAGAUCCUCUAUGCAGCUGCAAUGGUCUGUUGUUUUCAAGGAGCCAAAGUAAUGCAUAAAAAACCCUUGUCAAAGAUCCUUUAUAUGAGAAUCACUCUGCUAUUUAAAAAAAAAAAAUUAGAGAUUGUCUAUCAUGCAGAAGCGUGCUGCUGUUUUUAAGGACUUACUGUAAAAAAAAACAAAACCAGACUUGAGUUACUGCCAAGAAAUGCUCAUCAAAGAUCCUUUACAGUACAAGACAGGAGUGUGCUGCUGUUACCUACUGGGAAAAAAAGGCUUGGAAAAGAUCCUUUAUAUGAUGAGUACGUAAAGAGGACCUAUUAUGCUCAUUUUGUAUUGCACUCCUAUAGAGCAGCUCCACACAAUAACCCACACAGAAAAUGUUGUAGAUCUUCCAGAAUCUGCACCUAUUCCAGCUGUAUUAACCUUGGAUUUGUGCUCAUUUUUUUUACACCCACAGCC